AUGAGCAGGCAUACAUGGAGGCAGAACGCAGGCACGCCACGGGCCUGAAGCAGGGCUGCCACACGCCACCAUUCGACAACUCAAGGGCACCAUUCAUUCAUGCAGGCUGUCCUGACAAAAUGCCAAGUUAGCAAAAUAAGCAGAGACGGGGUUUCACCAUGUUAGCCAGGAUGGCCUUGAUCUCCUGACCUCGUGAUCUGCCCGCCUCAGCCUCCCAAAGUGUUGGGAUUACAGGCGUGAGCCACCUCGCCCAGCCAAUGAUACGUAUAAUGUACAACAAAUACUAAUGGAACGUGCCCAGAAAUAAAUGUCACAUGUCAUACGGUUUGAGGUAGAAAUGGUGAUUAUUUAUUCUAUGACUCUUAACUGUGUUUCUAUUGAAAGAAUUUCACCUCAUGAAGACAAGGCAUCACAAUACUGAUUCUCUCUUCUUCCUCCC
rnacentral:lncRNA from 10 species